GAUCAGUGGCUACAGAACGAACGCUGGCGGCGCGUUUAAGCAUGCAAGUCGAGCGGCAAGGGCCUUCGGGCCCCUAGAGCGGCGGACGGGUGAGUAACGCGUGGACAAUCGUGCCCCCCGGCCCGGGAUAGCCCAGGGAAACCUGGAUUAAUACCGGAUGAGACGGGACCCGCGAUGGCGGGACCCGGGAAAGGCGCUGCGGCGCCGCCGGGGGAUGAGUCUGCGUCCCAUUAGCUAGACGGCGGGGUAACGGCCCACCGUGGCGACGAUGGGUAGCCGGCCUGAGAGGGUGGACGGCCACAUUGGAACUGAGACACGGUCCAGACUCCUACGGGAGGCAGCAGCUAAGAAUCUUCCGCAAUGGGCGAAAGCCUGACGGAGCCGACGCCGCGUGAACGAAGAAGGCCGUGAGGUUGUAAAGUUCUUUUCGGGAGGGGGAACAACCGUGGCAGGGAAUGGCCGCGGGAUGACGUGAAUCCCGGAAUAAGCCCCGGCUAACUACGUGCCAGCCGCAGC
rnacentral:rRNA from 1 species